rnacentral:snoRNA from 1 species
CUUCUUUGUGCGGCAGCCAGAACUAUUACCGUGUUGCUUGUCUUUUUCAGAUAUCCCUACGAGUUGGCGAGCGUCAAGUUCUCGGCGAGAAUAAUAUCCAGUGAUGGACCAACGACCAUCUUAGUGCCCUUUCAGUGAUUGGAUCUUCGGAUCGUAUAGAGAUGACUGAGGGCCGGCAGGUCAAACAGAU